ensembl:lncRNA
GGGCAGAGGCUCCGGCCCGGGACCGGGACCCGGCCGAGGGGCUGCACCGCCAGCAGGGGGCGCUGUGUCCCCGCGUUGCUCGCGUUGCCGCCCUGACUUCGCUUUCCCUCUCGGGCAAUGAUGGGCGGAACCCGCUGUUGAUCCCGGGAUGGGGGUCCUGAGUUAAGGCCGGGUAAACUCGGAACAGGGCGUCUCUGCCUUGCGACGUGACUGUGUCUGUGGCCGGCGCCCAGGGUGAUGCUGGAUCCGCUGUUUCUCAACCACGGUCCUUCGCCCACAUCCCAGCAGCGAAGACCCACCUGGCCUCGGCACAGGGGCGGCGGCUGAGGCUCUGCCCGGCCAGUCCUGAGGGGACACAGCCUGGACGCGUCUGCAGGAGCCGGAGCUGCUCGGGGACAAGGGCGCGGAAGGUGCUGGGGGCGGCGGGCCUUCCAGGUGGACGGACGCCCCCACCUGCGCCUGGAGCCGGACCCCCGCUUUGGUCCUGGACGUGGGGACACGAAACUCUGACGGGGGGCAAAGGCCUCAGGCCCUGCUCUGAACCACAUCUGUCUGCAGGAGGGAAGCGUGCUUGGCCCCCCACCAGCGGCAUAUUUCCUUAAAUUAUCUUCCAGGGCUGCUCAUUCCAAGGACACUGGGCUUGAGGAGCAAAGAGCUGUGCCCCGGAGGCCGGCUUCACCGGGGUGGGUCGUGGGGAGGUUGAAGGCGGCGACCGGGCCUCUGGAGCCCUUGUCGUGGGGCCUGUGCUGCUUCUAGGCACUCAGCCCAGAAGAACGUCUGCCUGUGAAACGGGAUCAGGCUGUGCUUUGGGAAGAAUCCCAGGGCCGUCCCCUUUCCCCGGUCUCUGGCAGUUUCUCUGGAUUCUGUCUCCGUGGGAUCCGUCCCUCUCACUCUGCCCUGGGGGCAUGACCUCCCUUCCUUCACGUCCCUGAUGAAGACGCCGCAGGGGGCUGUUAGGAGUCUCCGGUGCACUGUGCCCGUCAGCCCAGAGGCUGGAUUCGGUCCUUCCAGUCAACCGCAU